rnacentral:snRNA from 1 species
GAAUAUGAGGGUGAUCUGGCUGUAACAUCUGUCACCUCACUUAUCACCAGUGUUGAUUCAGUUUAUCUGGCUGGGUAGGCAGGUGCCCCUUUCCUCCAUUAUUGCUCCAUGUGUAGCCCUCCCAAAGUUAUGCACUUGGUCAAAGAGGAUGACCUGCACUGAAUAGAUGAGGACCAGUUUUUGGUGAAGGGUAUAUGAGUGGAUAUUCUCCCCCGCUAGAAACUCUAAACAAACUCUCAGAAGGAAAUUAUCAAAUUUCUAGAACUGAAUGAUAACAAAUACUCAACAUACCAAAACUUAUGGGAUAUAGUGA